AGUAAAGUGGCGUACGGGUGAGUAACACGUGGAUCAUCUACCCUGGAGUGGGGAAUAACGCUGGGAAACCGGCGCUAAUACCGCAUAAUCCCGAGAGGGCAAAGGAGCAAUUCGCUUCAGGAGGAGUCCGCGGCCGAUUAGCUAGUUAGCAGGGUAAAAGCCUACCAAGGCAACGAUCGGUAGCCGGCCUGAGAGGGCACACGGCCACACUGGCACUGAAACACGGGCCAG
rnacentral:rRNA from 1 species